rnacentral:rRNA from 1 species
AACGAACGCUGGCGGCAUGCCUAACACAUGCAAGUCGAACGAAGCCUUCGGGCUUAGUGGCGCACGGGUGCGUAACGCGUGGGAAUCUGCCCUUGGGUUCGGAAUAACAGUUAGAAAUGACUGCUAAUACCGGAUGAUGACGAAAGUCCAAAGAUUUAUCGCCCAAGGAUGAGCCCGCGUAGGAUUAGGUAGUUGGUGGGGUAAAGGCUCACCAAGCCGACGAUCCUUAGCUGGUCUGAGAGGAUGAUCAGCCACACUGGGACUGAGACACGGCCCAGACUCCUACGGGAGGCAGCAGUGGUGAAUAUUGGACAAUGGGCGAAGGCCUGAUCCAGCAAUGCCGCGUGAGUGAUGAAGGCCUUAGGGUCGUAAAGCUCUUUUACCAGGGAUGAUAAUGACAGUACCUGGAGAAUAAGCUCCGGCUAACUCCGUGCCAGCAGCCGCGGUAAAAC